GUAUGUAUAGCUCAGUGGUAGAGCGUUCGACUGAAGAUCGAGAGGUCCCCGGUUCGAAUCAGUGUGUUUUCU
rnacentral:tRNA from 1 species